rnacentral:rRNA from 1 species
GGCAGGCUUAAUACAUGCAAGUCGAGGGGCAGCAUGAAGUAGCAAUACUUUGAUGGCGACCGGCAAACGGGUGCGGAACACGUACACAACCUUCCUUUAAGUGGGGAAUAGCCCAGAGAAAUUUGGAUUAAUACCCCGUAACACAACGAAGUGGCAUCACUUUGUUGUUAUAGUUUCGGCGCUUAAUGAUGGGUGUGCGUAUGAUUAGAUAGUUGGCGAGGUAACGGCUCACCAAGUCUACGAUCAUUAGCUGAUGUGAGAGCAUGAUCAGCCACACGGGCACUGAGACACGGGCCCGACUCCUACGGGAGGCAGCAGUAAGGAAUAUUGGUCAAUGGACGCAAGUCUGAACCAGCCAUGCCGCGUGAAGGAUUAAGGUCCUCUGGAUUGUAAACUUCUUUUAUAUGGGACGAAAAAAGGUCUUUCUAGACCCCUUGACGGUACCAUAUGAAUAAGCACCGGCUAACUCCGUGCCAGCAGCCGCGGUAAUACGGAGGGUGCAAGCGUUAUCCGGAUUCACUGGGUUUAAAGGGUGCGUAGGCGGGUAGGUAAGUCAGUGGUGAAAUCCUGGAGCUCAACUCCAGAACUGCCAUUGAUACUAUCUAUCUUGAAUAUUGUGGAGGUAAGCGGAAUAUGUCAUGUAGCGGUGAAAUGCUUAGAUAUGACAUAGAACACCCAUUGCGAAGGCAGCUUACUACGCAUAUAUUGACGCUGAGGCACGAAAGCGUGGGGAUCAAACAGGAUUAGAUACCCUGGUAGUCCACGCCCUAAACUAUGGAUACUCGACAUAUGCGAUACACUGUAUGUGUCUGAGCGAAAGCAUUAAGUAUCCCACCUGGGAAGUACGUUCGCAAGAAUG